rnacentral:rRNA from 1 species
UACGUAGGGUCCGAGCGUUGUCCGGAAUUACUGGGCGUAAAGAGCUCGUAGGUGGUUUGUCGCGUUGUUCGUGAAAACUCACAGCUCAACUGUGGGCGUGCGGGCGAUACGGGCAGACUAGAGGUACUGCAGGGGAGACUGGAAUUCCUGGUGUAGCGGUGGAAUGCGCAGAUAUCAGGAGGAACACCGGUGGCGAAGGCGGGUCUCUGGGCAGUAACUGACGCUGGAGGAGCGAAAGCCGUGGGGAGCGAACAGG